rnacentral:rRNA from 1 species
UACGUAGGGGGCUAGCGUUGUCCGGAAUCAUUGGGCGUAAAGAGCGUGUAGGCGGCCCGGUAAGUCCGCUGUGAAAGUCGGGGGCUCAACCCUCGAAUGCCGGUGGAUACUGUCGGGCUAGAGUGCGGAAGAGGCGAGUGGAAUUCCUGGUGUAGCGGUGAAAUGCGCAGAUAUCGGGAGGAACACCAGUAGCGAAGGCGGCUCGCUGGGCCACACCUGACGCUGAGACGCGAAAGCUAGGGGAGCGAACAGG